CCACCGGUGGUUCACCCCUAAGAUUUCUGGGACAGUUCCGGGGGCGAGGGAUGGCCACUCAGCCUGCAUCCUGGGGAAGGCCAUGUACAUCUUUGGAGGAUACGAGCAGCUGGCUGACUGCUUCUCCAAUGACAUCCACAAGCUGGACACCACAACCAUGGCCUGGUCACUAAUCAAUGCAAGGGGUACUCCAGCUCGUUGGAGGGACUUCCACUCUGCCACUAUUUUGGCACUAAGAUGUUUUGUGUUUGGAGGCAGAGCAGAUCGCUUCGG